AAGUCGUAACAAGGUUUCCGUAGGUGAACCUGCGGAAGGAUCAUUAAUGAGUUCGGGGGCCUAGCUCCCAGCGGUGGGUGUUUGUCCGAGUCCGUCUGGGCUCGGCCAGCGCUCAUCGUGUAUCUCAACCCCAUGUUUACCUUACCUUUGUUGCUUUGGCGGGCCUUGAGUAGGCUAUACGGCUCAUGCCGGCCCCCAGCGUUUUUAGCUGGGGGACGGAUCGCGCCCGCCAGAGGUUUAUUCAAAUCCUGUUUAUUAGUGAAGUCUGAGUAAAUAUUAAAUAAUCAAAACUUUCAACAACGGAUCUCUUGGUUCUGGCAUCGAUGAAGAACGCAGCGAAAUGCGAUAAGUAAUGUGAAUUGCAGAAUUCAGUGAAUCAUCGAAUCUUUGAACGCACAUUGCGCCCCUCGGUAUUCCGGGGGGCAUGCCUGUUCGAGCGUCAUUACACCCCUCAAGCGUAGCUUGGUAUUGGACCUUCGCGGGCCCCUCUUCGGGGCUUGCGUGUCCGAAAAGCAGUGGCGGUCCCCGGGGAUUUCGCGCGUAGUAAAUAUUCUCCCGCGUUGGAAAGAACCGGUGGGCCUCGCCAAAACCCUCUAUAAAUCUCCAUGAUUGACCUCGGAUCAGGUAGGGAUACCCGCUGAACUUAA
rnacentral:rRNA from 1 species